UAUUCUGGUGUUAUUACCAAAUGUUUAGCAGUAUGAAACCUAUAAUAUUAUAUACCAUACUAUAUACCCUAUUUUACUUAUAAAGUUAAUAAUCUGUAAAGUAAUUUGUAAAAAUUUUUUAAUUGUAAAAUUGCUACAUGAGAAGACAAGUUGUUAGAUGAAAUUCAAAUAUUCUCUAUGUUUGUGUUGUGUAGGUCAAAAAAUAAUAAACAAAGAUGAUAUUGAUUGUGAUGACCAAGAGAUUCAUUUUAAGACACAUCAAUCUUCAUCAUCUUUAAAUAAAAAGGAUAAACAUUAUGGAUUUCCAUUAUCUCAAGCAAACUUUCAAUAUUAUGUGUUGCUUCUCUUAAAUGAGAUAAAAACCCAAGGAUGCAAAAAACUUAAUAUAAAAUAGUGUGAAGAAAAAGUAGUAACUGAAAUAAACAGCAUAAUAGAAUUUGAUAAGUUUGACUCAGCACUUGACAAUGUUUCAUCUAGUAACUCAGUAGUAUCUCUGCAGUUAAACAAAGAGUUCAAAAUAUUAGUGGUAAGAACUGUCAAAAACUUGUGAUAGCUAUGAUGAAGAGAUUUAUGACAAAUUCGCUCAUGGCCAAAUCUAAUAUGGCAGCUGGAAAAGGCAAAGGAUCUUUUUAGCCUAACUAAGCUAUACAACUUAAUAAAAGUUUGUGCAUCGACUUCUCACGAAUCAUACACAGAGUCGAUUGUCGAUGCAAUAAUUGCUGAUUCGUGAAAACGGGCAACUUUUGCUUGUCUUAAAGUGCCUUAUAUCCAUCGUUAUAAUAUUACUUUGUUUGUAAAUUGUUUUAAAAAAUAAAUUUUAAAAUAACUUUUAAAUAAA